rnacentral:lncRNA from 1 species
GGGGUGGUGUUCUCCGAUGAAGACCCUCCAACGAUUAAGUCAGGAGAUGGAGAACAAUGAGAGGCGAGAAUGAGGAGUGAUUGCAUACCUUAGAGGGUCCCAGAGCUUUAAUUUAUAGGAAACGAGUUUGAGUCAUAUCCAUCUCGGAGUUCUGAUGAUUUUUUGAUUUGUAGCACAGAUUGAUAUUGAAAAAUAUGUCCCAAAACCAAUCGUUAGCCUGUUGAUGAUUGUGCUAUUUGAUG